UAAUACCGGCAGCUCGAGUGGUAGCCGCUUUUAUUGGGCUUAAAGCAUCCGUAGCCGGUCAGGUAAAUCCCUGGGUAAAUCGUACAGCUCAACUGUGCGACUUCCGGGGACACUGCCUGACUUGGGACCGGGAGAGGUUAGAGGUACUCUUUGGGUAGGGGUAAAAUCCUGUAAUCCUUAGAGGACGACCAGUGGCGAAGGCGUCUAACCAGAACGGAUCCGACGGUGAGGGAUGUAGCCCUGGGGCACGAACGGGAUUAGAUACCCCGGUAGUCCAGGGUGUAAACGCUGCAGACUUGGUGUUGGUUGUCCCACGAGGGCAACCAGUGCCGGAGAGAAAUUGUUAAGUCUGCCGCCUGGGGAGUACGCUCGCAAGAGUG
rnacentral:rRNA from 1 species